AUGGCGCAGAGGGCGCUGGAGCUGACCCUGAUAUCGGGCAAGGACCUCAAGGACGUGAACCUCUUCUCGGCCAUGGAGGUGUACGCGGUCGUCUCCCUCUCCGGCGACCCGCGCUCGCGCCAGCGCGUCGCCACCGACCGCGCCGGCGGCCGCAACCCGACCUGGAACGCGACUGUCCGGUUCACCGUCCCCGCCAACGCCGCGGGGUCCGUCCACGUGCUGCUCCGCGCCGAGCGCGCCCUCGGCGACCGCGACGUCGGCGAGGUCCACAUCCCGCUCUCCGAGCUGCUCUCCGGCGCCCCUGAGGGCCCUGUUCCGGUCAAGUUCGUCGCCUACCAGGUCCGCAAGAUCGGGUCCGGGAAGCCCCAGGGGGUCCUCAACUUCUCGUAUAAGCUCGGCGAGGUGACACAGGGCCAGGCCGCUGGCGCCUACGGUGGUGCGCAGGCCGCGUACGCGCAGCCUCCCCCCGCCGCCGCGUACCCGCCGCAGGGCGCGUAUCCUCCGGCCGGCAAGGCCGACGGGGCAGCAACCGCUGGUGCCUACCCGCCUCCCUCCGGCUACCCACCCGCUGGCAAGACAGGCGAGCCAUCCACCGCCUACCCCGCACCCGCCGGCUACCCACCCGCUGGUCCGUCAGGAAAGCCGGCGAAGGCAGGCGAGCCAGUGACGGCCUACCCAGCGGCCGCGGCGGGACCCAGCACCGGCGCUCCCUACGGCGCCCCGCCCCCGCAGUACGGCUACGGGUACCCACCGCAGCAGCCGGCCGGGUACGGCUACCCGCCCCCGCCGCCGCAAGGAGGGUACGGCGGCUACGGCUAUCCACCACAGCAGCCCGCCGGGUACGGGUACCAGCAGCAGGCCGUGAAGCCGCCGAAGAAGAGCGGCAUGGGGAUGGGCCUCGGCGCGGGGCUCCUCGGAGGCGCGCUCGGCGGGCUCCUCAUCGGCGACAUGAUCUCCGACUCCGCCGGCGGGUAUGAUGCCGGCUACGACGCCGGGUUCGACGACGGCGGUGGCUUCGAUUUCUAG
rnacentral:rRNA from 1 species